rnacentral:rRNA from 1 species
UUAAAUUGAAGAGUUUGAUCAUGGCUCAGAUUGAACGCUGGCGGCAGGCCUAACACAUGCAAGUCGAACGGUAACAGGAAGAAGCUUGCUUCUUUGCUGACGAGUGGCGGACGGGUGAGUAAUGUCUGGGAAACUGCCUG